rnacentral:rRNA from 1 species
UGGGGAAUUUUGGACAAUGGGCGAAAGCCUGAUCCAGCCAUGCCGCGUGCAGGAUGAAGGCCUUCGGGUUGUAAACUGCUUUUGUACGGAACGAAAAGACUCUGGUUAAUACCUGGGGUCCAUGACGGUACCGUAAGAAUAAGCACCGGCUAACUACGUGCCAGCAGCCGCGGUAAUACGUAGGGUGCAAGCGUUAAUCGGAAUUACUGGGCGUAAAGCGUGCGCAGGCGGUUAUAUAAGACAGAUGUGAAAUCCCCGGGCUCAACCUGGGAACUGCAUUUUGUGACUGUAUAGCUAGAGUACGGCAGAGGGGGGAUGGAAUUCCGCGUGUAGCAGUGAAAUGCGUAGAUAUGCGGAGGAACACCGAUGGCGAAGGCAAUCCCCUGGGCCUGUACUGACGCUCAUGCACGAAAGCGUGGGGAGCAAACAGGAUUAGAUACCCUGGUAGUCCACGCCCUAAACGAUGUCAACUGGUUGUUGGGUCUUCACUGACUCAGUAACGAAGCUAACGCGUGAAGUUGACCGCCUGGGGAGUACGGCCGCAAGGUUGAAACUUAAAUGAAUUGACGGGGUCAUAGCUGUUUCCU